UUAGUUUCAAAAUAUAACAUGUUUAAACUGAAAGAAGACAUGUAACUCAUAUUUUAAGAAAGUCAUAACAUUUGAAAUGUCUUGUACGGAAUGAAGAGUGGAAGAAAAUCAAAGGAAUUUGAUACCAGAAUAAUUUAGUUCAUAAAUCUCGUAAGAAGCGGUAGUAAGAAAACAAUAGCAAUUGUUGACUGAUUUUUGGUAGGAAAAAUAUUUUCUUUCAUUUUCCUAUUAACAAAAUCCAACCAAUUUUCUACAGUUAUUUUGUAGAAAACUAUUUUCUACAAAACAAAAUUCAACUAAUUUCUUAGUAA
rnacentral:sRNA from 1 species